rnacentral:rRNA from 1 species
UACGGGGGGGGCAAGCGUUGUUCGGAAUUACUGGGCGUAAAGGGCUCGUAGGUGGCCAACUAAGUCAGACGUGAAAUCCCUCGGCUUAACCGGGGAACUGCGUCUGAUACUGGAUGGCUUGAGUUCGGGAGAGGGAUGCGGAAUUCCAGGUGUAGCGGUGAAAUGCGUAGAUAUCUGGAGGAACACCGGUGGCGAAGGCGACAUCCUGGACCGACACUGACGCUGAGGAGCGAAAGCCAGGGGAGCAAACGGG